rnacentral:lncRNA from 1 species
AUGACAGAUUUUAACAAAGACUUCCAUGGCCCUCAGGAGUACCAUACCAGCGACAAAAAGAGAGAAUUGUGGAGUGACUUUUGCUCUGGUACCUUAAGAACAUAAGAAUUUAGUUCAUACUGAGAUCAUUUAUUUUCUACAAUUCAAGACUGUAUUGGUGCAUCAAUCGCAUGACCCUAUCCAUUCAUCUCGGUAGUCGAUGAGGAUUGAGGACGCAUGAUGACUCAAGAUUUUAUGCUUCUUAUUUCUUUAAUUGCU